GUGUUGUUGAGGAAAGAAGAAGAGAAGAAGAAGCUCGAUGGAGGAGAAGAGGAAAAAGAAAAAGAUUUGAAAUUUUUAAUUUAUCAUUAGGGGUAUAUUAGGUAUUUCACAUUUUCAACAUAAUUUUAAAAAUAAAAAUUAAAAAAAAUUUGACGUGUCAGUGCCACUUCAGCCAUCAUUACACAGUCAGCAUGCCAAAUCAUCAAAUUUAUCCAGUCAGAUGCUGACUGUUGGCGUUAGGGGGGUAAACCAAAGAAUCUUUAUUUUACAAGGGGAAUCUCCAAGUUUUUUUUUUUCAUAGGGGGUAAACCAAAAGACCCCCAAAUGGCAGGGGUAAAAGCCUAUUAACCCUAUUUUCAAUAAUAAUGAGGCUAUGUUGCACCAUCGAAUUUCUGGGCAAUGGACCUAUAUUUGGAAACUCAAGUUUCCCCCAAAGAUUAAAAAUUUCCUUUGGCGUAUUUGUCGCAAUUGUUUACCGACUCGUAGAGAUUGAUUGCGAAGGGAGUAGAUUGCCCUAAUAUAUGCACAAUCUGUUUGGAAAAAGAUGAAGACGGAAUGCACUUGUUCUUUAAGUGCAGCAAAAGUGUUGGUUGCUGGCAACGACUCAACCUCUGGAAUUCUAUUCUUCAUUUCUGGUCCUCUAAUGUUUCUUGUUAUGAAUUGAUUUUUGCUCUCAUCCAACAGCUCGACAUUUCCCAACAAUAAUUCUUUGCAGUCACUUUAUGGAGCAUAUGGAAGCAGAGAAAUAACAAAGUUUGGAACAAUGUGGUGGAAACGACUCAGCAAAUCAGUGAGAGGGCCGAGGCUUUUCUGAAUAGUUGGAAAAAUGCACAGAAAAUUACGCCAUGCAGCCAAGUUACCAGUGUCCAGCAUGAUAUCACUCGGUGGACAAAACCGGCUGUAGGGAGGUUCAAAUGCAAUGUGGAUGCAACUUUCUCCACUUCAUGUAAUAGGGCUGGUCUUGGAGCUUGUAUCAGAGAUGCAGAAGGUAAUUUUGUCGCAGGCCGAACAACCUUUCUCCCCCCUUUACUUGAUAUAGAGAUGGGUGAAGCCAUAGGUCUGUUGUAGGCAAUGCAGUGGGCGAAAGAGCUUAAUUUGGUAAGCACAGACUUCGAAUCAGACUCUAAGAUUGUGGCAGAUAGCAUUUAUAAAGGAGAUGGUGUCUCUAAUUUUAUGGCCAUCAUCCAUGAUUGUAGGCAUUUGUUAAUGAUCGACUUAGCAAACUCUGAUGUGAGUUUUAUUAAGAGACAAGCCAAUAGUGUAGCCCAUAGCUUAGAUAGGGAAGCAUUAUCACAUGCUAGUUUCCAAUUGCAUCUUAAUAUCCCUUAUUGUAUAACUUCUUUGAUUAAUAAUGAAAAGCUAUAAGCUUCCUUUUCUAAAAAAAUAAAAAAGAUCAUAAACCAAACAAUGUCUGCGUCCCAAGCUGCAGGAACAGGGGGUGGCUCAGCGCUGACUAUCAAUAUCAAAGUUGAACACAAGUUUACGGUAGAGUUGGCGGAUCUGGUGACCGUUGUCGCUGCAGAUUCGACGAAAGCGCCGAGCAUCGAUGUUGAGGAUAAGCCUACUCUAGAGUCGGCGGAUCUAGAGGCUUACGUCUCUUACUUCAAGUGGUGGGCCGGGUUAAACUGCGUUGCGGGCUAUGUUGCACUAGCAGUAGCUUUAGCAGUCUGUGAUUCCAAUCCCGUCUGUCAUUCCAAUCCCAAUACGAUGACUAAGGUACUAAUAUCUUUUGUACCAAUUUGCUUCUUCGCAAGUUAAGCCUUCUUCAGUUGCCUUGGAGGAAACCUCUCUCACAUAGAUCAGAUCAACACUCGUAGAUUCCGGGUCCUCAGGCUAUUGGGUAUCUUACAUCUCUAUGUGGCUUAUGUUUAUUAUUCACUGUGGUAACUUACAUCCUCUCAACUGUAGCGCCACCGGCAACAGCACCAGCACCAGCCUAGCCUAGUUCUGUUGUUACGUUGUUCUUUGGUUUAGGCUGUUUAUAAAAGCAUUCCAGUAUAGUAUGUCUUGUUAUUGUUGGUUGGUUCAUGGAACAAACAAAACAAACUCUAAGUUAAGCUUUUAGCUGUUUAUUGGAUUUCAAGUUCAUUCAUUUCUAUUUUA